GACGAACGCUGGCGGCGUGCUUAACACAUGCAAGUCGAGCGGUAAGGCCCUUUCGGGGGUACACGAGCGGCGAACGGGUGAGUAACACGUGGGUGACCUGCCUCUAGCUCUGGGAUAAGCCCGGGAAACUGGGUCUAAUACUGGAUAUGACUCCAUGACGCAUGUUGUGGGGUGGAAAGCCUUGUGCGGCUAGAGAUGGGCCCGCGGCCUAUCAGCUUGUUGGUGGGGUGANGGCCUACCAAGGCGACGACGGGUAGCCGGCCUGAGAGGGCGACCGGCCACACUGGGACUGAGACACGGCCCAGACUCCUACGGGAGGCAGCAGUGGGGAAUCUUGCGCAAUGGGCGAAAGCCUGACGCAGCGACGCCGCGUGAGGGAUGACGGCCU
rnacentral:rRNA from 1 species